GUCUAUGGCUAUAUCACCCUGAACAUGUCUGAUAUAGACUGAUGUCUGAUUUCUAAAGCUAAUCUGGGUGGGGUCUGGUUAGUACUUGGAGACUGCUUGGGAAUACUAGGUGUUGUAGGCU
ensembl:rRNA 5S_rRNA 5S ribosomal RNA